rnacentral:lncRNA from 1 species
UACGAUCAUCUAUGGUCAUCUACGAUUAUCAUCGAUUGGUUAAUAGUGUGAACGGAUCUCGCGGGGAGCGUUCCGUACCAUGCAAUCGCAUCGUCCGUGAGCGCCCUGCGGAACACCCGACACCAAAUGUCUUUCCGGCUCGUUCUGUCCUCCAUGUUGAUUCUGAACGAGUGGAGGUGGUCCUCCGGGUCGAUGUUCCCCUUGUACAAAGGGAUCUUCGGGGCUCUCCAAACAGGUGGUACUCGUUUUCUUAGUUUUUUCCAAUCUUUUAUUUUCGUAUUACCCUCUUUAAUCUCAAAUAUCUCUGUAAAAAUAAACACAUACAGAUCAUAACUUAUAAUAGCAAAAAAAACACUUAUAGUUAAAUUAAAAAUUUCAAAAACAGUAAAUAAUUCAAAGAUAAAGAAUGAAUAAGAAUUAAAAGCAGUAUGAUAUUCUGAUAUAGAAAUUAGAAAGAAAGAAAAGAGAGAUGCAAAUAGAAUAGAACAUCAGUAAAUACACUUGUUAGAAGAAUCCUAUGAUUCUAACAAUCAUUCGACCAAACAACAUUUUCAUUUAAAAAUUAUAAAACAAGAUAAUUUAAUCUCUAGUCAAACAAAUAAAGAUAUUAAAAAUUUGAAAAUUCAUUUGUUCAAUUGGUAAUGCUAAUUAGAUGAUUUUUUUUACCAAUUAAGUAAAAUGAAUCUGAAUUUUAUUAUUAACGUAAGAUAACAUUUACUAUAUAAAAAAUGACGAUGUUAGAAUUGAAAAAUCUUAACAAAACAAAAUGAAUCAAAGUUAUUAGGUCAUUUACAGACAACAAAUUAAAAUAUACAACAGUAUCACUGGAAAUGUGCAACCAUCAAAAAUAUUGACACAAAUAACAAACAUCAAAACAUUACAGAGUUACACUUAAAAAAAUAAUUUAAACAGAGAAAAAGAUGAAUGAAAAUAUGUGGUCAUUACAAGCAGCAAAAAUACAUGUAUGAAACUUAAACUGCAAAGCGGGUACCAGUAUAAAUAUAGCAUAUCAAAAUCAAACAACUCCAUCAAUCAAAAUGAGGGAGAGCUCCUGUAUCAAUGCAAGACAUCUGAAC